ACACCAAUUAAAUUAAGCUGUGAUCAUCAAAAUAUACAAAGUAAGCUGAUGGUUAAAAAUAAGGUUAAAGAGACAGAAGAAAAUAAGCUCAGGAUCUGGGACCAAACAAAGUUCUUCGUAUGUUGUUGGAGAUUUCACCAAGACAGUGAGUGAAGGUCCAAGAGACUAUCAAACAGACCUUCGGCAACAAGGCUAACCUUAAAGAAGAGGGACAAAGGACUUAAAGCCUUCAAAAAGACACAUAAAUAAACUAAAAUAAGCUGAAGAAGUACAUACAAGACAUAUAUAGAAACAACACAUGCAUUAUUUCUAUGUAUUUCAUAUUUCCACUAAGGACCAAGAAAAAGUGUCAGUGUAUACCAACACAGAACUUCCUUCCCCAUUAUCUAAAUUGCUAUCUUCUAAAGCAAAAGGUUUACUUCAGUUAAUCUGACCCAUAGCUUAACUUUGGGAAAAAUAAUUUAGAAUGUACCUGGCUAAGGAGAGAGGUUCACAUCUGGUACUGUGAAGACACUGAGUCUGAAAUGCAAGUCAAUACUUUUUUUCUUGCUUUUCUCUUGUGGUUGUUGUUGUUGUUGUUGUUUUUUGUUUUUUUUUGUUUGUUUCAUACAGCAGUGGGCAAACAACUCUGUUUCUCAGUCAGUUUCCCUAGUUCUAUCAGUGGCAUGAAGACUACACCUUUCAUUCAUUUAAAAUAUACACAUAUAAAUAUAUUUAAAGAGGAAAGGUUAUUUUAUUUUAAAUACUUGACUAUUAUCACUUACACUUUUACAUUUAUAUGGAUGCUAUUUCUUUGUGUUUCUUUGUGUUUUCUUUGAGUUUCAAAAAAGAAUACAUAGAAAUAAUGCAUCUCAAGUUCAUCUUAAUGUAUACAUCAUAUUUUUAUUUGCAUUUGAAUUUAUUGUCCAUGUAAAAACUGCAAGUGUCACAUAGGAAAUAGCAUGAAUAUAUUAAGCACCAGAAGUAUUCAGUCAUCAAGUCAGACACAUGAGUAUAUACAGGUUCUGUUUCACAGAGGUUCUGUGAUCUUGCUCUAUUUACUCUGCAAUGUGUUUCUCUCAUGCAUUAUAUCCAUAUAAUUGAAAAUUGUAUUUUUGAGAGUUCUAUUUUAUAGCUAAAUCUAACAAUAUUUCUUCUCCAAUUAAUACAUUGCAUGCUCCUUCCAAACCUGCUUCAGCAACUGUGUAGUGUCUUAGUUUGUCAUGGAAUUUACGUACUACCAUAGAAAAAGAAACAAUUAUUUCUAUAA